CCUACGGGCGGUAGCAGUGAGGAAUAUUGGUCAAUGGGCGGGAGCCUGAACCAGCCAAGCCGCGUGAAGGAAGAAGGCGCCAAGCGUCGUAAACUUCUUUUGUCGGGGAACAAAGGGCGCCACGUGUGGCGUUGUGAGUGUACCCGAAGAAAAAGCAUCGGCUAACUCCGUGCCAGCAGCCGCGGUAAUACGGAGGAUGCGAGCGUUAUCCGGAUUUAUUGGGUUUAAAGGGUGCGUAGGCGGUCCGGAAAGUCAGCGGUAAAAGCCCGGGGCUCAACCCCGGCGAGCCGUUGAAACUGUCGGACUAGAGACGGCGAGAAGUACGCGGAAUGCGCGGUGUAGCGGUGAAAUGCAUAGAUAUUACACAGAACACCGAUUGCGAAGGCAGCUUGCUAGGCCGGAUCUGACACUGAUGCACGAAAGCGUGGGGAUCGAACAGGAUUAGAUACCCUGGUAGUC
rnacentral:rRNA from 1 species